AACCCAUGGUGAGAGCAACUUCUUUGUAAGUCCUUGUAUCUCUCCUAUGCAUCGUAAAGAGUUUCUAAGUCCAUCUGCACAAACGGAGAGAUAUCAUUACAUAAUUU
rnacentral:snoRNA from 1 species